rnacentral:rRNA from 1 species
AGUUUUGCCCAUGCCUUGCCCUAAAGGCAUCUGAUCUUACCUGAUCUUGGAGGCUAAGCAGGAUCAGAUCUGGUUAGUACUUGGAUGGGAGACCCACCAGUGAAGCCCAGGCGAUGUAAGCU